rnacentral:lncRNA from 1 species
AUGGUGAGCUUGUGGACAUAUUGGACACACAGGACAUGGGGCAUGGGGGCCUGAAACACCGUUUUACAGGACAGACGUACACAAAGGGGAAUGCAGCCUGCCAUUGUGUUUCUUCCUUUCUCCUCUAUCCCUUCUUCCCUCCCUGGGAAACCACAGUAGCAGAAGUCUCAUUCAAUCAAACAGUUGUCAAUUAUAUGAGUUGUACUUUUCUCUUCCUGAACAGCAAACUGGCUUUCCUCCUCUUUGUCCUCCUCUUUCUGCCUAUAGAGCAAUUUCCUCCUGUCCACUUUGCAGGGCCGAUAGCUCAAAUACAGUGCUAUGGUGAUGACACCCACUCCAAGGGCAACGGUAAUAAUGACAAAGAGGGUAGAGCU